rnacentral:rRNA from 1 species
GCCGCAAGGUUAAAACUCAAAGGAAUUGACGGGGGCUCACACAAGCGGUGGAGCAUGUUGCUUAAUUCGAGGCAACGCGAAGAACCUUAUCCUAGGCUUGACAUGUGUGGAUUAGCCGUUGGAAACAUCGGUGACGCCUUCGGGUGGAACAUACACAGGUGCUGCAUGGCUGUCGUCAGCUCGUGCUGUGAAGUGUCGGGUUAAGUCCCUUAACGAGCGCAACCCCUGUCGUUAGUUGCUAACAGGUAAUGCUGAGUACUCUAGCGAGACUGCCGGUGUCAAACCGGGGGAAGGUGGGGAUGACGUCAAGUCCUCAUGGCCCUUACGCCUAGGGCUGCAAACGUGCUACAAUG